AAAACAAACUCUGAGGAUAUGUAAAACUAUUUAUGGCUCUUUUUUUCAGAGGCAAAGAAUUGGAAACUGAGGACGUUUCCAUCAACUGGGAAUGACUGAACAAGUUAUGCUUAUUUUGCAGAUGAGAAAACUGAGGCAAAUAGGGUGACUUUCCCAGGAUCACACAGUCCUGGACUUGUUUACUUUGUUCUGACUCAUUCUCAUGUAAGUAAUUCAAUACCUCACACAAUUCUAUCAAAGUGAACAAAUCAUACUAGGGGAAAUAGUGUUUGAAAAAAUUUUUUAGAUUUAGGUGUGCAACCCCUUAGAAAUUGUCUAUGGACAUGGCUAGCCGACUCCUCAUUAUCGGCUUCUAGACCUAAGAUUGAA
rnacentral:lncRNA from 1 species